rnacentral:misc_RNA from 1 species
AAUUCUCAACCUCAUAACGUUUUCGAACGGUCCUUGAGGCUUGGACUUUGGAGCGUGUCGGCCUCUUUUCUUAAAGAAGUCGACUCCUCUUUAAAUGCAUUAGCUGGAACCUCUUGUGGACCAGACUACGGUGUGAUAAUUAUCUACGCUGUGGCCUUGUGAAGCACUUUGUUACGAGGUUCUGCUUCUAACCGUCCCUUACACGGACAAUGAUCUUAAUUGAUUGACA